UCCUCUCAAUUUGUUCCUAUCAUUUCCUG
rnacentral:piRNA from 1 species